AUCUUGAACUAGAAGAAAUCAAUUGACUUAUUCUUCUUAUAAUGGGAGGCAUAUAUUGAUAUUGGGAGUUUGCUGAUAGCACCUUUCUUUUUUCCCGGGGGCGUUUCAAUAAUACCUUUCCAUACACAC